UGGGGAAUCUUGGACAAUGGGCGCAAGCCUGAUCCAGCCAUGCCGCGUGAGCGAUGAAGGCCUUAGGGUUGUAAAGCUCUUUCACCGGUGAAGAUAAUGACGGUAGCCGGAGAAGAAGCCCCGGCUAACUCCGUGCCAGCAGCCGCGGUAAUACGGAGGGGGCUAGCGUUGUUCGGAAUUACUGGGCGUAAAGCGCGCGUAGGCGGACUGAUCAGUCAGGGGUGAAAUCCCGGGGCUCAACCCCGGAACUGCCUUUGAUACUGUCAGUCUUGAGUCCGGAAGAGGCGAGUGGAAUACCGAGUGUAGAGGUGAAAUUCGUAGAUAUUUGGAGGAACACCAGUGGCGAAGGCGGCUCACUGGCUCGAUACUGACGCUGAGGUGCGAAAGUGUGGGGAGCAAACAGGAUUAGAUACCCUGGUAGUCCACACCGUAAACGAUGAAUGCCAGUCGUCGGGUAGCAUGCUAUUCGGUGACACACCUAACGGAUUAAGCAUUCCGCCUGGGAGUACGGUCGCAAGAUUAAAAGCUCAAAGG
rnacentral:rRNA from 1 species